rnacentral:rRNA from 1 species
GUGAGUAACACGUGGGUGAUCUGCCCUGCACUUCGGGAUAAGCCUGGGAAACUGGGUCUAAUACCGGAUAUGACCUCCUGUUGCAUGGUUUGUGGUGGAAAGAUUUAUCGGUGCAGGAUGGGCCCGCGGCCUAUCAGCUUGUUGGUGGGGUAAUGGCCUACCAAGGCGACGACGGGUAGCCGACCUGAGAGGGUGACCGGCCACACUGGGACUGAGACACGGCCCAGACUCCUACGGGAGGCAGCAGUGGGGAAUAUUGCACAAUGGGCGAAAGCCUGAUGCAGCGACGCCGCGUGAGGGAUGACGGCCUUCGGGUUGUAAACCUCUUUCAGCAGGGACGAAGCGCAAGUGACGGUACCUGCAGAAGAAGCACCGGCUAACUACGUGCCAGCAGCCGCGGUAAUACGUAGGGUGCAAGCGUUGUCCGGAAUU